GGAAGUCUGGUGCCAGCAGCCGCGGUAAUUCCAGCUCCAAUAGCGUAUAUUAAAGUUGUUGCAGUUAAAAAGCUCGUAGUUGAAUUUCGGGAUCAGUACGCCGGUCGUGCCUUCGGUAUGCACUGGUGUCACUGGUUUCUCCCUUCUGAAGAACCAUCAUGCCAUUCAGUUGGUGUGGCGGGGAAUCAGGACUGUUACUUUGAAAAAAUUAGAGUGUUUAAAGCAGGCUCGCGCUUGAAUACAUUAGCAUGGAAUAAUGAAAUAGGACGUUUGACCCUAUUUUGUUGGUUUCUAGGAUCGACGUAAUGAUUAAUAGGGAUAGUUGGGGGCAUUAGUAUUCAAUUGUCAGAGGUGAAAUUCUUGGAUUUAUUGAAGACUAACUACUGCGAAAGCAUUUGCCAAGGAUGUUUUCAUUAAUCAAGAACGAAAGUUAGGGGAUCGAAGACGAUCAGAUACCGUCGUAGUCUUAACCAUAAACUAUGCCGACUAGGGAUCGGAUGAUGUUAAUUUUUUAAUGACUCAUUCGGCGCCUUACGGGAAAC
rnacentral:rRNA from 1 species